rnacentral:rRNA from 1 species
UGGGGAAUAUUGCACAAUGGGCGAAAGCCUGAUGCAGCAACGCCGCGUGAGUGAUGAAGGCCUUCGGGUUGUAAAGCUCUGUCUUCUGGGACGAUAAUGACGGUACCAGAGGAGGAAGCCACGGCUAACUACGUGCCAGCAGCCGCGGUAAUACGUAGGUGGCAAGCGUUGUCCGGAUUUACUGGGCGUAAAGGAUGCGUAGGCGGAUACUUAAGUCAGAUGUGAAAAUCCCGGGCUUAACUUGGGAACUGCAUUUGAAACUGGGUAUCUAGAGUGCGGGAGAGGAGAGUGCAAUUCCUAGUGUAGCGGUGAAAUGCGUAGAGAUUAGGAAGAACACCAGUGGCGAAGGCGACUUUCUGGACCGUAACUGACGCUGAGGCAUGAAAGCGUGGGGAGCAAACA